ensembl:lncRNA
AAAUAAGUUUUUUACCCUUUCCAAAUAUAAAAUUGCAUUUUACAUUAAAUAGGCUUUUUGGAUAAUAUAUGGCAAUUCUGAUGCUCUGGGAACUGCAAAGUACUACUAAGCUUGUUAAAACUCUGAGUGAAGUAAGAGUAAGUAGGCUCUAAAUCAAGGCCAGACACGGUUUCCUGGGGUGAAAAACGCACCUGUGUUUGUGUAUGGUUAUUGGUAUAAUGAAUUUGGCUCUCCGAUUUCUGAUUUUUUACAUAUUCUUCAUUGAGGGAGUUAUCACAUAAAUGUUACUGAACUUUAGGUCUGAGUGAAAGUCAAUUUUUGUUAUCUGUGAGAAACAAUAGCUAUCUUAAAAAUUUUGUUUGAGAAGAGGCAAGAAACUUGGGAUGACCUGAAAAACGCUGGAACAUUUGGAAAAUGCAUGCUAUCCUAUCUGUAGCUAUUUCUAAGUAUUUCAUGAUCAGUUUGCAAUUUGACAUCAAAUUCUGAGUGUAAUGCUUAGCUGACCUAACCCGAGAGCUGUAUCCGCUGGAUUUUUGCUGUACGUGGUCAAAUGUAAUUAAACAGAAGGCCUUCUGUAGUGGCCCUUGCUUUGAACAGUAGCAGUAUACAAGUCCCAUCUCUGUAGUGGGCCUCUGCAUUUUUAGAGUAAAUGAGCUACUUGACUUAGCCUUCUCUCUCCCAUCUUCCCAUAGAUUCAAGUCUCUCCUAUCAAAAACCAAUUUAGACUUACAUUCAGAGGAGACACUUCAAAUGGGAUUGUAGGAAACAUAUGUAUAUGUGCAUAUCUGCAGGAACUGUUUGCUCAAAGAAUUGGCCAUUAUGAAUUUUAGCUACUGCCCAACUGUUCUUCAAGACCUUUUUAUGAAUUCCUACUUUCACAAAGGAGACUGUGGAAGAGAAGGGAGAUGAACAUCUGUUGCGAAGGAGGCGCCGGUUAGAAAGGGCAGGGGUGCAGGAUGUAAAAACUCUUAGGACACCGACUGCCAUGCAGACCUUGAUGCUCCUGAUGCAAAAUCAACCCAGGGUUCCUGCAGCCACCGGGGGAUAGAAAGUCCUGGAGAUGGGGAACAUCCUCAGUCUUUUCUAGCAAGCCCAAACUCACCAGCGUCAUCUGUUUAACCGUUCCCUGUUCAUUUUGUUCUAACCUGAAAAUACUAAAGUCGGAUGUCAGACACGCAAAUACGUUUGAGGGCGAUUUUGAGAGAUUCCAGGAGAACUCAAAGCCCUUCAGUCAAUCUAGCUAUCCUGCUUCAUGCCUUAGCGUCCCCAACGCAGCAGAGCAGAGCCCCACAAGAGCCUGGGUUGGGAAACACCCCGCGGGCACCUGGGCUGGGGAUUCCCAGGCGUGGAGCUAGGCAGCUUCAGAAAGCACCCCGCCCGUCCCCCCACCCAGCCCAGCCGCCCAGGCUGCAUGAAGCGACGCCACUGCACCCCCGGCCCUGGCCGCUGUCUCGCUGCGCCGGGGAAGAGCCCGGCUGCAUGAUCCCCCUCCCCACUCUUCCCGCGCAGUCCGGGUGGCCCCCCACCACCCCCCCCUCAGCCUCCGGCAAGGGGACCGAGGGGGGCGCGCGGACCCGCCGGCUGCACCUGCUCCGUCUGCAGCGCCCCCGCUUCCCCGGCUCCGACGCGGCUCCUGCUUCAGCCUCUGCCGCCGCCGCCGCCGGGCCCUGUUGCAGCCCCGAGUUCCUUCCCCGCUGCUAACUUUCUGCGGGGAGAGAGAGGCGCGGAGAGGCCCGGGCGCGCGGUCCGCGCCGCCGAGGGAAGGGGGAGUGCGCCUCGCGCGCGCCUGCAGAGAGGGACGUGGAACAGAGGCGUGCGCUACGCCUGGGGCACCCGGCAAAGAGGAGAUCGUGCCCCCUCCCCCGCCCCCCCCACCACAUUCAUGCUGGAGAGGUUCCCCGCCCAACCCCGCGUGCUUCCCCUCCCCUGGGAGCCUUGGACGCCAGUUUCUCCUUCCCUCUCCUGAUACUUUCAGAGACUUAGAACCCGACGCCUGCCGCCAGUGCCGCCCAACAGGAAGCUGGGGGCCACAAGGUGGUGAGCUCUCGCUUCCCCUUUUCUCAUGGGACUCCAGGCAAACUCGGUCCAUCCGCGACCCGCCCUUCUCCCUCCCUGGACAUCCUCCUGCCUUUGACCCAGGAGGAAUUUCUUGUCCGUACCAGGUUUCCCAUCCCAACUUCCAUCUUUCCAGCCUCCCCAUCUUAGCUUGAAGCUCCUGAUUGGUGGAGCUUCGACACAAACCCCCAAAUUUCCUUGUCCUAGAGCUUUUGCCUCUGUCCCGCCACCGGUUGACUGUGCUUUCUGCUCCAAAAGGAGAGGCUGUCUCCUCCUCACACCCUGAACCACAGAUGCACAUGCGCCCCUUGGGGGCCAUUGACGCUAAAGGAGUUCAGAUUUCCCUGGACUAAAAUAUUAGACUGAGACUAUCAUCGCUCUGAACACCUUAUAAGCAGAGAGAACCUGUGUUGCUGUGUCUGUGCAUCGCUUCAUUGAAUUAAAAAAAAAAAGUAUCUUCUUUGCAGAGAGAUUUCCGUCCCUCACCUCCUUCUCCUGGGGGGAAUGGUAAACAUCAUAAGGCUUUGGAACAUUCAAGACUAGACUUUGCUUCCUGUUUCCUUUUGCUCAGGGAGGUGGAGGAAACGCGAGGCUGGAAUGGCAGGAAGAGGCAGAGCGGUCAACUGAGGCACUCCAGCGAACUCUGCUUCCUGGGGGCAGGGGCUGGCCCUGCAGGCACCUGGCGCCAGUCUUUCCCAGAGGCUGGCUCCAGUGAGUCCUGUUUACCCUGCUAGCCACAGCUGGGUGCCUGGAGGGUCUCCUUUCGCCUACAGGGCUGAUGUGGUUGGAAUCUCCAGUUUUGUUUGAUCACAUAACAGGGACAACAGUUGAAAGAAAAUGUAUAUAAUGUCUAAAUAUUAACUAGAUACCUAGUGCCAAAGAGAGAAAAAAAUGUUACUCCAAUAACGUGAACACAGACUUUUCCCUGAGUAAACAGAAGCUCACGGCUGCUCUCAGCUGGACGUGAGCUUCCUUCACUGCAGCUUCAGCUCAGAUAAAGAUUAUUCCUUUAGAAUAUAUUUUUUAUGGUACACCGGAGACCUCUGAAAUGCAGAGUCUGGUGUCCUGUAAAUCAUUUCGUGGAACUAGGGAUGCUUUUUCAAACACCACGCGACUGCACUCCUGUAAUGUUAAUGGGAAGGGGCCAACUGGAGCUGGGAGCAGCACAGCUUGCCCAUCCCUCCUUCGGCUCCAAGCCCAGCUCUGGGUGGUCGCCCAGGAGGGCCCGGUUGCAGCAAAUAUUGUCACUGCCAUAGUCCAUCUCCCUUUCAAAGCUCAGGCGCCAGGAUGCCCAGCACGUGGUCCAGGGGCCUCCCUACAGUCCCUGCCCAGCUCCCAGACUUCUCUGUGCCCGCUCUCGGCAAUCCAAAUGAACCUGCUCUGUAGCUAGUUUUACUAAAGAUGUGCUUUCAAAUUUGGAAAGGUUUUGAUGAAAUGGUACUAAUAUUUAACCUAGAGGUGGCAAACUGGUAACAAAUUAAGAACUGAAUGUGGCCAGCGCAGCGAUAUUAAGAAGUUUAAAAUGGUUGUGAUGUUGUAAAAUUGAGGACUUUCCCAAAAAAUUUGGCUAUGAGUUUUCUGCUGAAAUACUGGAUCCAGCAACUUUGGGCCCCUCAGCCAGAACCGAGAGACCCCCUGACAUGGAGCAUGUGCCCUGUUCUUCAUGGUGCCCCCCCAGAGUGCCCUCAUACAUUUAGGUUACUUGCCUGGAUGCUGCUAAUGAGGACACUUCCCAGUGUCCCUUCUCCCUCUUGUCCACAGAUAGUCCUACUUAAAUAAGAGACUCUUGAAAGAACGGAACCCCAUUGGUGAAAUGUUAGGCCCCACAACUGAUGGGGAAGAGGUGAUUUUGGGGGAGAGGAGCUUUGUAGAUUUCUCACUUGGGCACUUACCUGUUUUGUUCUCCA